UUGAAUUCAGACAAGUAACGAAUAAUUUUUUUUUUAGUGUAAGUAUAUCCAGGACAUUGCAUGGGAAAUACUUAUGCUAAAAAAAUUUUACUGGGCAUCCUGUAGUU
rnacentral:miRNA from 10 species